UACGUAGGGUGCAAGCGUUUAAUCGGAAUUACUGGGCGUAAAGCGUGCGCAGGCGGUUUUGUAAGUCUGUCGUGAAAUCCCCGGGCUCAACCUGGGAAUUGCGAUGGAGACUGCAAGGCUAGAAUCUGGCAGAGGGGGGGUAGAAUUCCACGUGUAGCAGUGAAAUGCGUAGAGAUGUGGAGGAACACCGAUGGCGAAGGGCAGCCCCC
rnacentral:rRNA from 1 species